rnacentral:lncRNA from 1 species
UGCUCCACCUCCUGCAACGAAUACUGCAUGAUUCUCCCAUCCACUGGCAAGUCACGACGACAAACGCCACCCCACUUCAUGCGGCAGACUCCACGUGGCACACCCCAGCGAUAGCCACGGGUCCGUUCCACUACGCUUCGCAGCAAACUUCGCCUGACCCCGGGCAGUCCACUGCCAGACGGUUACAAACGUCGCCAUCAAUCCGUUG